UACGUAGGGGGCAAGCGUUGUCCGGAAUCAUUGGGCGUAAAGAGCGUGUAGGCGGUCCGGUCAGUCGGUUGUGAAAGUCAAGGGCUCAACCCUUGAAUGCCGGCCGAUACUGCCGGGCUAGAGUCCGGAAGAGGUGAGUGGAAUUCCCAGUGUAGCGGUGAAAUGCGUAGAUAUUGGGAGGAACACCAGUGGCGAAGGCGGCUCACUGGACCGGAACUGACGCUGAGGCGCGAAAGCGUGGGGAGCAAACAGG
rnacentral:rRNA from 1 species